GAUGAACGCUGGCGGCGUGCCUAAUACAUGCAAGUCGAGCGAACAGACGAGGAGCUUGCUCCUCUGACGUUAGCGGCGGAAGGGUGAGUAACACGUGGAUAACCUACCUAUAAGACUGGGAUAACUUCGGGAAACCGGAGCUAAUACCGGAUAAUAUAUUGAACCGCAUGGUUCAAUAGUGAAAGACGGUUUUGCUGUCACUUAUAGAUGGAUCCGCGCCGCAUUAGCUAGUUGGUAAGGUAACGGCUUACCAAGGCAACGAUGCGUAGCCGACCUGAGAGGGUGAUCGGCCACACUGGAACUGAGACACGGUCCAGACUCCUACGGGAGGCAGCAGUAGGGAAUCUUCCGCAAUGGGCGAAAGCCUGACGGAGCAACGCCGCGUGAGUGAUGAAGGUCUUCGGAUCGUAAAACUCUGUUAUUAGGGAAGAACAAAUGUGUAAGUAACUAUGCACGUCUUGACGGUACCUAAGCAGAAAGCCACGGCUAACUACGUG
rnacentral:rRNA from 1 species